rnacentral:rRNA from 2 species
GGUUAAGCGACUAAGCGUACACGGUGGAUGCCCUGGCAGUCAGAGGCGAUGAAGGGCGUGCUAAUCUGCGAUAAGCGCCGGUAAGGUGAUAUGAACCGUUAUAACCGGCGAUACCCGAAUGGGGAAACCCAGUGUGACUCGUCACACUAUCAUUAACUGAAUCCAUAGGUUAAUGAGGCGAACCGGGGGAACUGAAACAUCUAAGUACCCCGAGGAAAAGAAAUCAACCGAGAUUCCCCCAGUAGCGGCGAGCGAACGGGGAGGAGCCCAGAGCCUGAAUCAGCAUGUGUGUUAGUGGAAGCGUCUGGAAAGGCGCGCGAUACAGGGUGACAGCCCCGUACACAAAAGCGCAUGUGCUGUGAGCUCGAUGAGUAGGGCGGGACACGUGGUAUCCUGUCUGAAUAUGGGGGGACCAUCCUCCAAGGCUAAAUACUCCUGACUGACCGAUAGUGAACCAGUACCGUGAGGGAAAGGCGAAAAGAACCCCGGCGAGGGGAGUGAAAAAGAACCUGAAACCGUGUACGUACAAGCAGUGGGAGCACAGGUUUACCUGUGUGACUGCGUACCUUUUGUAUAAUGGGUCAGCGACUUAUAUUCUGUAGCAAGGUUAACCGAAUAGGGGAGCCGGAGGGAAACCGAGUCUUAAUUGGGCGUUAAGUUGCAGGGUAUAGACCCGAAACCCGGUGAUCUAGCCAUGGGCAGGUUGAAGGUUGGGUAACACUAACUGGAGGACCGAACCGACUAAUGUUGAAAAAUUAGCGGAUGACCUGUGGCUGGGGGUGAAAGGCCAAUCAAACCGGGAGAUAGCUGGUUCUCCCCGAAAGCUAUUUAGGUAGCGCCUCGUGAAUUCAUCUCCGGGGGUAGAGCACUGUUUCGGCUAGGGGGCCAUCCCGGCUUACCAACCCGAUGCAAACUGCGAAUACCGGAGAAUGUUAUCACGGGAGACACACGGCGGGUGCUAACGUCCGUCGUGAAGAGGGAAACAACCCAGACCGCCAGCUAAGGUCCCAAAGUCAUGGUUAAGUGGGAAACGAUGUGGGAAGGCCCAGACAGCCAGGAUGUUGGCUUAGAAGCAGCCAUCAUUUAAAGAAAGCGUAAUAGCUCACUGGUCGAGUCGGCCUGCGCGGAAGAUGUAACGGGGCUAAACCAUGCACCGAAGCUGCGGCAGCGAACGUAUCACUUAAAGCGAUUCAGCGGGUUACGAUUGACGGAGCGAAGCGACGUCAAAGCGUAUACAAAGUCGAGUCGGUUUAAGGAUACGUUCGUUGGGUAGGGGAGCGUUCUGUAAGCCUGUGAAGGUGGCCUGUGAGGGUUGCUGGAGGUAUCAGAAGUGCGAAUGCUGACAUAAGUAACGAUAAAGCGGGUGAAAAGCCCGCUCGCCGGAAGACCAAGGGUUCCUGUCCAACGUUAAUCGGGGCAGGGUGAGUCGACCCCUAAGGCGAGGCCGAAAGGCGUAGUCGAUGGGAAACGGGUUAAUAUUCCCGUACUUGGUGUUACUGCGAAGGGGGGACGGAGAAGGCUAUGUUGGCCGGGCGACGGUUGUCCCGGUUUAAGCGUGUAGGUGUGUGUUCCAGGUAAAUCCGGUUCACUUUAACACUGAGGCGUGAUGACGAGGCACUACGGUGCUGAAGCAACAAAUGCCCUGCUUCCAGGAAAAGCCUCUAAGCAUCAGGUAACAUCAAAUCGUACCCCAAACCGACACAGGUGGUCAGGUAGAGAAUACCAAGGCGCUUGAGAGAACUCGGGUGAAGGAACUAGGCAAAAUGGUGCCGUAACUUCGGGAGAAGGCACGCUGACACGUAGGUGAAGUGAUUUACUCAUGGAGCUGAAGUCAGUCGAAGAUACCAGCUGGCUGCAACUGUUUAUUAAAAACACAGCACUGUGCAAACACGAAAGUGGACGUAUACGGUGUGACGCCUGCCCGGUGCCGGAAGGUUAAUUGAUGGGGUCAGCGCAAGCGAAGCUCCUGAUCGAAGCCCCGGUAAACGGCGGCCGUAACUAUAACGGUCCUAAGGUAGCGAAAUUCCUUGUCGGGUAAGUUCCGACCUGCACGAAUGGCGUAAUGAUGGCCAGGCUGUCUCCACCCGAGACUCAGUGAAAUUGAACUCGCUGUGAAGAUGCAGUGUACCCGCGGCAAGACGGAAAGACCCCGUGAACCUUUACUAUAGCUUGACACUGAACAUUGAGCCUUGAUGUGUAGGAUAGGUGGGAGGCUUUGAAGUGUGGACGCCAGUCUGCAUGGAGCCGACCUUGAAAUACCACCCUUUAAUGUUUGAUGUUCUAACGUGGACCCGUAAUCCGGGUUGCGGACAGUGUCUGGUGGGUAGUUUGACUGGGGCGGUCUCCUCCUAAAGAGUAACGGAGGAGCACGAAGGUUGGCUAAUCCUGGUCGGACAUCAGGAGGUUAGUGCAAUGGCAUAAGCCAGCUUGACUGCGAGCGUGACGGCGCGAGCAGGUGCGAAAGCAGGUCAUAGUGAUCCGGUGGUUCUGAAUGGAAGGGCCAUCGCUCAACGGAUAAAAGGUACUCCGGGGAUAACAGGCUGAUACCGCCCAAGAGUUCAUAUCGACGGCGGUGUUUGGCACCUCGAUGUCGGCUCAUCACAUCCUGGGGCUGAAGUAGGUCCCAAGGGUAUGGCUGUUCGCCAUUUAAAGUGGUACGCGAGCUGGGUUUAGAACGUCGUGAGACAGUUCGGUCCCUAUCUGCCGUGGGCGCUGGAGAACUGAGGGGGGCUGCUCCUAGUACGAGAGGACCGGAGUGGACGCAUCACUGGUGUUCGGGUUGUCAUGCCAAUGGCACUGCCCGGUAGCUAAAUGCGGAAGAGAUAAGUGCUGAAAGCAUCUAAGCACGAAACUUGCCCCGAGAUGAGUUCUCCCUGAGACUUAGAGUCUCCUGAAGGAACGUUGAAGACGACGACGUUGAUAGGCCGGGUGUGUAAGCGCAGCGAUGCGUUGAGCUAACCGGUACUAAUGAACCGUGAGGCUUAACCUU